rnacentral:lncRNA from 1 species
GCACAGGUCCCGCCCUCCGGCCGGCCGGCGGCCGUGGGAGAAGGCGGGGGGAAUGGUGUGAGAAAGUGACGCGGCGUGGCCAGAGGGCAGCGCGCCAAUGAGAACGCGGCAGAGGCAGCGGGCGCUCAAUGGGAGCCGAGAGCAGCGCGCGGGCAGCCAAUGGGAGGGCGCUGCCGACCGCGGAGCUGCUACAUCCUCUACUGCUCCUGACCCCUUGUCUUGACUUCUGAGCUGGCCCUUAAACCUGCCUCACCACAGCAGACUCAUCUGGAAAUCUGGACUUCUGUCUGGCCCGCCUGCUGCCACUGGCUCUGCCCUGCUCUUCUGUUUGGGUGCUGUGAGAGUGUGCCUUUUCCAGCAAGGCCACUGCCCCACUCUCCUGGUCACACUCCGCUCCUGGCCCUUCUGCCCUUUAAGGGCAGCCUGUUCCCCACUGCUUCCUGACAGCAUAACUGUGUUCACCUGUAAGCUUAUUGCUUG